rnacentral:rRNA from 1 species
UACAGAGGGGGCAAGCGUUGUUCGGAAUUACUGGGCGUAAAGGGCGCGUAGGCGGCCUUCUAAGUCAGACGUGAAAUCCCCAGGCUUAACUUGGGAACUGCGUCUGAUACUGGAAGGCUUGAGUGCGGGAGAGGGAUGUGGAAUUCCAGGUGUAGCGGUGAAAUGCGUAGAUAUCUGGAGGAACACCGGUGGCGAAGGCGGCAUCCUGGACCGACACUGACGCUGAGGCGCGAAAGCUAGGGGAGCAAACGGG